CCUACGGGAGGCUGCAGUGAGGAAUAUUGGUCAAUGGUCGGAAGACUGAACCAGCCAAGCCGCGUGAGGGAGGAAGGUACAGAGUAUCGUAAACCUCUUUUGCCGGGGAACAAAUGCUGGGACGCGUCCCCGGAUGAGUGUACCUGAAGAAAAAGCAUCGGCGAACUCCGUGCCAGCAGCCGCGGUAAUACGGAGGAUGCGAGCGUUAUCCGGAUUUAUGGGGUUAAAGGGGUGGGCAGGCGGUCGGUUAAGCCGGCGGUCAAAGCCCGGGGCUCAACCCCGCCCCGCCGUGGAAACUGGGAGUCUGGAGUGGGGGAGAGGUAUGCGGAAUGCGCGGUGUAGCGGUGAAAUGCAUAGAUAUCGCGCAGAACUCCGAUUGCGAAGGCAGCAUGCCGGCUCCACACUGACGCUGAGGCACGAAAGCGUGGGUAUCGAACAGGAUUAGAUACCCUUGUAGUC
rnacentral:rRNA from 1 species